rnacentral:lncRNA from 1 species
ACACGGGGCCGGCCCUGACGGCGCUCCCGGGAGCAGCCGGUGCGCGGCGGCGGCACGACCCCCUGCGCCUCCGAGGCAGACGAGCCCAUCGGGAGAAGGCGAGGCAGGGAAGUGCCUGUGCGUGUGGAAAAGGGGGUCUGUGGGGCGGAUGCGAGUGCGCGCGUGCUCGCGGACCAGCGAGGGAGAGUAGAGCAGUACCGCACUCUGCGCGGGGGCCCCUCUUCUGCCCCGUGUCCCCCUCUCCUCCCUCCGCGGGCAAACAGGCACGCACCUGCCUGCACAGAACCUCAGCCUCUGCCCGCGCCCGUCGCCCCUCGUCACUUGUUCCCCAGGAUCCUGUAAGGCACCCGCAUCCUUCCCGGCCACCCAGCUCCCUUCCCCUGUCACUCACUGUCGCCUUGAACCCAAAGUGCAGCAGGCGGUCCCUGCUCGGAGCCAUUUUCCUCCUCUUCUGGAUGUGUCUAGAUUGGGGCAGUGCGGCUGCCGCCGCGCCUCCGCGGUUGCCGCCGCCGCCGCCUCCCCCGCCUCCCCCGCCCCAGUGCAUUACAUUACGGGGUGCUGCAGGGAGGCCUGGGGGGCCGGGGCCGGACGCUUGUCUCCCUGUGCAUGGCUCGGGAGGGCGAGGGUGGUUGCGCUGAGCAACAGGCCAAGUGCCCGCCCUGGUCCGGGGAUGGCUGCGGAGCUGCACCUGAGGCCGGGGGUCGGGGGUGCAGGGCUGGAGCCGGGCAACCCUUCCUUUGGCCGGGGUCGGGGCGCGCGUCCGUGGGGGUGGGGCGGGCGAGACCGAAGAGCCUUUGGUUUUCCUUGCUCGGCCGCCGCCGGCGCCCAAUGGGCUGCAGCGCCUGCCUGUCCGCCAAUCAGGGCGCUGUUUGGUGAGAGCUUCGGCCUGACGUCACUUUGGCGGGAGAAACAAGCGUGUGUGAGCGAGUAGGCGGGGGCGUUUUCCCGAUGGAAACACUUCAUCAGACUCCCGGGCUCCUUGUAUAGAAGCUGAUCUGUGUCAUCAUAUUAUAUUAUGUUUUAACAACUCUGGCCUUCAAGGUCUCAGAAUUUAUGACCGAAUUUCCACGAAGGAAUAACACAGGAUUUUGUAGUUUUGUUGCCCCUUCUAUGAGCAACAAACUACAAAAUUAUGUCCUAAGAGUGAACUAUUAGAAACUGUAUAAUAAAUUCCAGCACACCUGGCAGGAGCAGCAGCACUGCUAAUUGUAUGCUUCCAAAGCAGUUAUGAGUUGGUCUUCCUCACACCCCUUUUAAUUAGUGGUUUUAGCGACUGACUUGUUAUGCGUCUAAGAAAUUAACAAGAGCAACAAGUGCGGCAGAUCUUUAAGAACAGGUAUAUUUUAGCUGGAGGACAUAUUACCCAACUCUUAAAGCACUGUACAAACUUUUUCUUUUUUUUUUUUUUUUUUUUUUUGAGACAGAGGUUCAACUCUGUCGCUUAGGCUGGAGUGCAGUGGCACGAUCUCGGUUUACUGCAACCUCUGCCUCCCGGGUUCAAGCCUCCCAAGUAGCUGGGAUUACAGGCGCGCCGCGCCGCACCUGGCUAAGUAGAGACGAGGUUUCGCCAUGUUGGCCAGGCUGGUCAGGAACACCUGACUACAAGUGAUCCGCCCGCCUCGGCCUCCCAGAGUGCUGGGAUCUUUUUUCUUUUGUAGAGACGGGGUCUCCCUAUGUUGCCCAGACUAGUCUGCAAUUCCUGGGCCCAAGUGAUCCUCCAGCCUCCUCCCAGUGCUGAGAUUACAGGCCUCAUGUGAGCCACCACGACCAGCGCGCCACCCCCCGGCUUUUUUUAAUCCUAGAGGGGGCUUCCUAAAACCAGGGACCUAGCUUCAGAAACUCAUUCUCAGGCCCACAAACCCAGGUCUGUCUUCUCCUCCUGUCCCAGGUACUUUUAAUGUUUUUGCUUGACUUCAGCCAGUGGAAUAAAAAAGCCUUUUCAUUCUGUCUCAUCUAAGAGCUGUUUUCUCCCAGCAAAAACUGAUGCAUUUGGUGAGUAACAAUGGCAAAGGGAUGGCCGGGCGCGGUGGCUCACGCCUGUAAUCCCAGCACUUUGGGAGGCCAAGGCGGGCGGAUCAUAAGGUCAGGAGAUUGAGACCAUCCUGGCCAACAUGGUGAAACCCCGUCUCUGCUAAAAAUACAAAAAUUAGCUGGGCGUGGUGGUGGGCGCCUCUAAUCCCAGCUACUCGGGAGGCUGAGGCAGAAUUGCUUGAACCCGGGAGGCGGAGGUUGUAGUGAGCCAAGAUUGUGCCACUGCACUCCAGCCUGGGCGACACAGCGAGACUCCAUCUCGAAAAAAAAAAAAAUGGCAAAGGGUAGAAAAACUGGCCUACAGAGUAAUAGAAUGAAGACAAGUUUCACAGCUCCGUCAGUUACCAGUUGACCCAUUUCAAGUAGUACUCAGGGAAGACAUUUACUGUUGACUGACUCUUUAAAAUUGACUGGAGUUUUGAACAAAUGAAAAAAGUAUUCAAAGGCUAAAAUUUUAUUACACACAGGCAAAUUACUUUUUAUCAAAGAAGUUUAUUUGCAUGUAAAUAAACAGGUUAUUUUGUAAUGUUUCGGGAAAAAAAUCCCACAACAGAUUUCAUCUACUUUCAAAAAAAUGAAAAACCCCAAAGUAUUUACAAAACGGCCAUAUGCACAGAAAACCAAAUUUGAAAGAUUUUUUUAAAAAAAGACCCUCCCCAGCUGCUCCUGAUGUACAUUUUUAAACUCAAAAUUUAAAGCUCAGUUCUUAUAGCUGAGCAUGUUUCCCAAUCUAGCUUCUGAGAUGUUAAGUACUUCCUGCCCCUCCAAAACUAACUCAAGGAUAGAAAUGUAUGGGGGGCAGGGGAGGAGGGGAGAAGGAAAAAAAAAUGAGAUUGCCCAAGGAUUGUGAAUAAUGUUUCGUAUACUGACAUCUUUAAGUGACUCAACUGUGGAUACUGUAUGACUCACUGGCUCCCUGAAAGGGCUUCUGAGAAUUCAUGAUAUUGCUGCACUUAAUUUUCUGAUCUAGGCCUGAAGAAAGAAAAUCUUUCAAGAGUCACCAACCUCAAGCCUGGUUUUGGCAAUUAUAUCCUGCGUUGUUUGUCCCCACCACCCCACCCCCCACCCGCUAAAAUACUUCUGUUUUAAGACACAUUGAUAUUGAACCUGAAAUCUUUAUGUACAUCAGAGCAGGUUAUGACCAAGAACCCCUAAUGUUAAGUCAAAAGACAGAAGAGGAAUCAGGUCAAACUGAGAAUACAUAAGACACCAGCAGCAGAAGAUAGGUAGAAGUUGACUUCAUGUCCUUGCCUUCUUUUGAAACAGAAGAAUGAGUACACCUAGACAGGAGGGAGGUGUCCCAGGCUUGGUUUAUUCUGCCUCUUCUCCUCCACCCUGUGGAGAAAUGCAGUGCUCCCUGGUUCUCAGGCAGGGUGAAGCAGUUUAGCCCCGGCUCCCUGUUAAGCAAGUUCAGAUGCUGGGUCAGUGUGGGGGUGAGCCCAUCGACAAUUCAGGGGCUUAUCCUUCAUCCAGAUCCUAACUCGGGAUUCUUUGAUCUGGGAUGAAGACAGAAAGAGAGAAAAGCUUCCCAGUUUACUCAUUUUGGUAUUUGUUGGCCCUGCAUGGGGGAGCUGAGCCCAUGAUACUAUUCAGUACAUUCCCCCUAAGAUUCUCCCCACUCAGAACAAAUUUUAAAAACCACAUAAAUUUUUUUUUUUUUCCUGCAGAAACCAACGGGAUAGGAUUCAAAACUAGGUGACAAACUCAUGAGAAAUCCAACCUGGCUGAAUGUCUGAGAGGCUGCUACUGUAUCAACAUCACAAGAUAAAGCACUCUGGUAUCACCUGCCCAUAUCCUCCUUAGUGUCACCCAAGACAUUUGACUCUGAUGUGGUUAAUUGAUAACUUUUCUUGCUCCACUUUACAAUGUUUUGUUUCCUACAUCUUAUUACCUUGGGACACAAAAGUGGCAGAGUUGUUGAGAGCUGAUGACAAUAAAAAGGAGAACACUAGAGGAAAUGAGACAGGAAAGAAAGCCAAAGCUGAUUUUCCAACUCUAUGCUGACUCCAACCUGCAGAAAAAGCUGAAUAUAGAAAUCUUCUUCCAUAUAUGAUGAAGUCACUCCACUUACGACAUAACACACAAAGGAAUCACCUGGCUUUUUUUUUUUAACCCAGAAGAGUUGUGCUGGGGACCAUGCCCCAUCCCGCUGAUACAGAUCCUGAAUGGAAUAAUCAGGAAUGGCACAGUGCAGGUGUCAAUAUCAAAGUAAGGCCGCAGAAUUUUUGAGAGGACCCUCCAAAUACUGAGAACUUCUGUUGCACUCGAAACAGUCUCCUGGAUUUCUAUAUUUUUAUGUGAAGGGCUCUUAUUGAUGUCCCCCAGAAUCCAGACUCAGACCUAUUUCUCCAAAAAGGUCCAAUUGGGUUGCUACAUAGUAGCAAGGGUUUAUCUUCAUGCUCACCUAGCAUUCCAGGCCCCCAUUACUUCAAAAGUGAGCUUGAAAUUGUUUUAAGUGAACUAUGGCUGCGGAUUUUUUACUGUUUUAUCUCAGGGAGCAUACAGUGGAGUGAUUAAAGUUUGGACUCCUUCUCCUUGUGAUGAAGAGAAACAGUGAGUCCAGCUCUUAGGAAUGGCAUCAGUUCUCCUGCAAACAAAAUGCUGGGAUGCAGACUUUUGGCACAUUGUGGAAGUAGGAGAACUAUUAAUCCUGUAAUGGUUUUCAUGCCACUGGGUCAGGAAGGCUGUCCUACACUAAACCUUACUGCAUCUGAAAACAUGUUUACAUCCCAACAAGCCACCUUAGCUUUUUUUUUUUUUUUUGAAAGGAAAAUGAGAUUACAAGUCAAUACCUCCACAGAGAGGUAACUCCUAAUAUUCCUAUGAUCUCUGAACCCUAUUUAAACCCUCCUAAAAUAAAAAUAUCAUUUUGGUUUUUCUAU